rnacentral:rRNA from 1 species
UGCUCUAGUACGGCGAGUGAAGCAGCAAUAGCUCAAAUUUGAAAUCUGGCGUCUUCGACGUCCGAGUUGUAAUUUGUAGAGGAUGCUUCUGAGUAACCACCGACCUAAGUUCCUUGGAACAGGACGUCAUAGAGGGUGAGAAUCCCGUAUGCGGUCGGAAAGGUGCUCUAUACGUAGCUCCUUCGACGAGUCGAGUUGUUUGGGAAUAA